UUAAUGGCUGUCUCAGCUCGUGUUGUGAAAUGUUGGGUUAAGUCCCGCAACGAGCGCAACCCUUUUCCUUGUUUGCCASCACUUMGGGUGGGAACUCCAGGGARACUGCCSGUGAUAAACCGGAGGAAGGUGGGGACGACGUCAAGUCMUCAUGGCCCUUACGAGUAGGGCUACACACGUGCUACAAUGGCGCAUACAGAGGGCGGCCAACUUGYGARAGUGAGCGAAUCCCAAAAAGUGCGUCGUACUCCGGAUCGGAGUCUGCAACUCGACUCCGUGAAGUCGGAAUCGCUAGUAAUCGUGGAUCAGAAUGCCGCGGUGAAUACGUUCCCGGGA
rnacentral:rRNA from 1 species